CCCGCCAUGAAGGAUCGCCUUAACGAGAUGGCACAAUCGUUCGGUAUGCAGCUGGAUGACGUCGAAGAAGCCCUUAACAACCCACCAGAGAAACUCAAGGAAUACUUUGACAAGAAUGCCAAGAAGAAGGGGAAGUCUGAAUUAUAAACGACGUCAAAAUGAGAUACAGCAGUGCAUUUAUUUAUA